rnacentral:sRNA from 1 species
GUGGUGGCCUUUUGCGCCGGGCUUUGGGUCUCUCACCCGGUGCUGACGCAGGGCCAGGAGGCCGGGGGGCGGCCAGGGGCCGACUGUGAAGGUAAAGAAGCUGUGUAAUCGCAGAGGAAGGACAUAACAGUUUGUAUGUAAAGAAUUCUUGAACCGAUUCUACAAGUCAUUGAUAGACAGAGGAGUUAACUUUUCGCUGGACACUAUAGAGAAAGAAUUGAUCAGUUUUUGCUUGGACACCAAAGGAAAAGAAAACCGCCUGAAAAAACACUGGACUUGGCAUCAGUUGACCUGCGGAAGAUGAGAGUGGCAGAGCUGAAGCAGAUCCUGCAUAGCUGGGGGGAGGAGUGCAGGGCCUGUGCAGAAAAAACUGACUAUGUGAAUCUCAUUCAAGAGCUGGCCCCCAAGUAUGCAGCAACACACCCCAAAACAGAGCUCUGAUCUCCAAUGCCAGCACAUUUGUGACUUGUAAUUAGAGAGAAAAGUGACUCUCUAGGAUAUGGACAUGUUGAUUAAGGAUAACUGGGAAUGCAUCAUAUUUGGUCUCAUGCUUUUUGUGUUGGUAUUAUUCCUCAGAAUUUUGUUACGUGGGUUUAUGAGUAAAACUAAUACUACAGAUAACUUACAUUUGCAGUGUACCAAAAGCUAAAAGUUCCUUUCUCAUAAGUUUCUUGGAAUGACUAUGCCAGUUUUCAUUGCCUGUCUCCUAAAAGUGACCUACUGACAAAUUGAUGGAGUAAAUUGAUUCCAAGAAAGAAGAAGGCAUUCAGAGACUCCUCUCUGGAUGCAAUUUUAAAAUAUAUUGGACUAAAACAAAAGACACGACAGUCAGCUUAUCUAAUGCACAACUUCAAUCCCAAAUACAGAAUCAAAAGUUUUUUUAAAGUGAA